UAUUAGAGGCAUUGCCUGCCCAGUGACUGAAGUUAAACGGCCGCGGUAUCCUGACCGUGCAAAGGUAGCAUAAUCACUUGUUCCUUAAUUAGGGACUAGCAUGAAUGGCCAAACGAGGGUUCAACUGUCUCUUAUUUUUAAUCAGUGAAAUUGACCUUCCAGUGAAGAGGCUGGAAUAUUCUAAUAAGACGAGAAGACCCUAUGGAGCUUAAAUAACUUACUUAACUAUCAAAAUUAUAAAUCUAAUGGUCUAAAAACUAUAGUAUAAGUAAAAUAUUUUGGUUGGGGUGACCUCGGAGAACAAAAAAUCCUCCGAACGAUUAUAACUUAGACUUACAAGUCAAAGUAAUAUAGUAUAUCCAAUUGACCCAAAAAUUUUUGAUCAACGGACUAAGUUACCCUAGGGAUAACAGCGCAAUCCUAUUUAAGAGUUCAUAUCGACAAUUAGGGUUUACGACCUCGAUGUUGGAUCAGGACAUCCCAAUGGUGUAGAAGCUAUUAAUGGUUCGUUUGUUCAACGAUUAAAGUCCUACGUGAUCUGAGU
rnacentral:rRNA from 1 species